AAAUUCUCUGCCUUGAUUCAAGAUUCCUUUUUUUACCUCUCUGUAGGAGCUCCCACCAUUUUAUUUCCCUUGACUCGAACUCACAACCUUAGGGUCGAGGUGAGGGGUGUUUACGAUCCGAACAAGUCCCUCUUGUUUUUUUUCUUCCAAUUGAACCCCUUUGAGGUAUGUGAGUUUUUUUUUGUUGGGAAAACCGAUAACUACUUGUUGUGAUUCAGUAUUGUGACAAUGUUACAAGAUGAUGGUUCUUCAUCUGUGACCUCAUCAUCACCUAUUCAAGU
rnacentral:misc_RNA from 1 species